rnacentral:rRNA from 1 species
UACGUAGGUGGCAAGCGUUGUCCGGAUUUACUGGGCGUAAAGAGCGCGCAGGCGGUCGAUUUAGUCGCGUGUGAAAGCCCCCGGCUCAACUGGGGAGGGUCACGCGAUACUGAUCGACUCGAAGGCAGGAGAGGGUAGUGGAAUUCCCGGUGUAGUGGUGAAAUGCGUAGAUAUCGGGAAGGAACACCAGUGGCGAAGGCGACUACCUGGCCCUGUUCGUUGACGCCUGAGGCGCGAAA